rnacentral:rRNA from 1 species
GACGAACGCUGGCGGCGUGCUUAACACAUGCAAGUCGAACGGAAAGGCCCUGCUUUUGUGGGGUGCUCGAGUGGCGAACGGGUGAGUAACACGUGAGUAACCUGCCCUUGACUUUGGGAUAACUUCAGGAAACUGGGGCUAAUACCGGAUAGGAGCUCCUGCUGCAUGGUGGGGGUUGGAAAGUUUCGGCGGUUGGGGAUGGACUCGCGGCUUAUCAGCUUGUUGGUGGGGUAGUGGCUUACCAAGGCUUUGACGGGUAGCCGGCCUGAGAGGGUGACCGGCCACAUUGGGACUGAGGUACGGCCCAGACUCCUACGGGAGGCAGCAGUGGGGAAUAUUGCACAAUGGGCGGAAGCCUGAUGCAGCAACGCCGCGUGCGUGAUGACGGCCUGCGGGUUGUAAACCGCUUUCGCCUGUGACGAAGCGUGAGUGACGGUAAUGGGUAAAGAAGCACCGGCUAACUACGUG